rnacentral:tRNA from 3 species
GGCCGAAUGGCAGAGUGGUUAUGCACCGGAUUGCAAAUCCGCUAACCCCGGUUCGAUUCCGGGUUCGGCCUCCA